UGCAGCUUCCCUCCUGAGCCUGAUCC
rnacentral:piRNA from 1 species